rnacentral:tRNA from 1 species
GCCCUGGUAGCUCAGUGGUAGAGCACACGGCUGUUAACCGUGGGGUCGCAAGUUCGAGUCUUGCCCGGGGCG